UAGGGAUGCUGGGGAGGGACUCUUCAUUAGGAACUGUAGUGAUAGUAUGAGGGGUAAUGGGUUAAAACUUAAACAGGGGAAGUUUAGAUUGGAUAUAAGGAGGAAGUUGUUUACUGUAAGGGUGGUAAGGCCCUGGAAUGGGUUGCCCAGGGAGGUUGUGAAUGCUUCAUCCCUGGCAGUGUUCAAGGCCAGGCUGGACAGAGCCUUGGGUGAUAUGGUUUAGAGUGAGGUGUCCCUGCCCAUGGCAGGGGGGUUGGAACUUGAUGAUCUUAAGGUCCUUUCCAACCCUAGCUAUUCUACAAAAAUGAUACCCCAAUUCAACUCAAUGACCAACUUACUUCUUCAUUGGCUUCUUAAAACCUGUAGCUGGAUGUUUUUAAAACCUACAGCAAAUUAUACAGAAUUACUAUGAUCAUGUCUUAUUUGUACAUAUUUUCGUAUUUGUUUGCCUAAUGGCUGUUAUUAAUUUACUUCUAAUAAAUUAAUGAUUAGUCUUACCACCUUCAGAAAAGUAUUAGUUUCUGAGCUUUUGUGGAAUUUCAAAAGGAAUUUCGUGCUAAGAGUUUCAAAAGCUAGAUUUAAGAGAAGAAUUCCCGAAUCCAUAGAAACCCAAGCGUCUUGAAGUUUUACAUACAUCAGGAAUCAUGUUCCUACCUGUUACAAGUGAAUGCAGAAACACUGUUAAGAGUAGCAGAUACACUUACUUUGCAUUUCAAAUAAAGCACUAUUAAAGCUCACCUUCUGUUAAUGCUUCUUCUAAAGUAAGAGUAAAGUUCAUAAAACAGUACAAUAGCCAUUUAAAGUGGGUUUUAUUCAAAUAUCACUGAAGUAAGGAUAAAAUUGAUACAUAAUAAAAUCAAGGCAAAUUGGCAAUAGAAUAUUGAUAAAGCUGUGUAGUCUU